CAGUCGCCGCGGGAAUACGUAGGGUGCAAGCGUUAAUCGGAAUUACUGGGCGUAAAGCGUACGCAGGCGGUUAUAUAAGUCAGAUGUGAAAUCCCCGGGCUCAACCUGGGAACUGCAUUUGAGACUGUAUGGCUAAAGUGUGUCAGAGGGGGGUAGAAUUCCACGUGUAGCAGUGAAAUGCGUAGAUAUGUGGAGGAAUACCGAUGGCGAAGGCAGCCCCCUGGGAUAACACUGACGCUCAUGCACGAAAGCGUGGGGAGCAAACAGGAUUAGAUACCCCCGUAGUCCCUGUCUCUUAUAC
rnacentral:rRNA from 1 species